AUGAAGAGGAAAGGACCUUAAUGUGGCUAAAACCUGAAAUUACUAAAUUACAAACAUAGAUGUUUUUUCACAAGUGGUAAAAGAGACUUUGAAUCUGAUGUAAUUGUACCAUCAAUCCCGUGAGUCAGAUUUUUGUACCUCACAGAUGAGAAAACUAAACUGACAGAAACUGUUUUGCUCAAAGUCAUGUAACUAGUAAGUUUCAGAAUGGUGAUUGAAAUCAGUGUCCACAUAAGUCUAAAUUGUCUUCCCUUCUCUGUAGGGCACAGGCACAGGCACAGGUCUCUCUGAAAUCGGGAGAAUGAAUUUUAGGUACCUAUCCGCAAUACCUUACAUAUUUACAUACAAGUAGAACUGCAUAGAAUUCAUUUCCAAAAAAAGGUAGUAAAGACUACUAGAUUGUAAGGAGCAAGGACUUUUUUUUUAAGCAAGAAGAGGUGACCUUUACUAAGUGCUUUCUGUGUAUUGCCCUUGUUUAAGAUUCUUUACAUACAUGCAUACUCUCACUUAAUCCUAGAAAGUAGAGCAUGACAUUAACUCAAGGAGAGCUUCUCGGGCAUUUUAUUUCCUUGGCUAUACAAAUUUCUGAAGGGACUUGGGAGUGAACAUCUAGGUCUCUUCUACAGAUCUGGCUCCUUUUAAGAGCUAUUGAAUCGAUUUUAUGUGUAUCAGUGUUUUGUCUGCACAUGUAUCUCUGCACUUAGUUGUGUAUGCCUAGUGCCUGCUAGGACCAGAAGGGGGCAUUUGAUCCUCUGGCAUACUGGAGUUACAGAUGGUUGUAAGCUGGCAUGUGGUUGCUGGGAACUCUACCCAGGUCCUCUGGAAAAGCACCAAUGCUCUUAGCUAUUGAGCUGUUUCUCAAGUCCCCAGACUUGGCUUUUAAUAUGACCAAAUUAUUGUUGAAGUUAGGCAGAUCACAGGUUGUCCCAGACUUCAAGUCUAAGAGCUCUGGCUUUUAGCAUCAGAACUCUAAGAGAAGGGUUAGGAAUGGUGGGCUUUCUUCCAUAUGGCACCUUUUCAUAGUGGCUAGGGGGGAGAUUUGUGCAUAGACAGCGUUAUUGAGAUGCUUUCUACCCAUAUAUACCUCCUUUUUCCUAUUUAUGCAUGUGAGCACUUCAGGGAUGUCCAGACUCUGUUGUGCCCUUGCUCUCACAGCAGGUACCAGGGUAACUGGUUAGAUUGUAAAUGUUGUCAGGAGAUAGUCUUCUGCCAUUAACUCUCUGCAUUACUCUCCAAAGACAACUCCCAUUCCUGCUGCAAGCCAGAGAAUUCUUCUUGUCACUCUUCCUGGUAUCACCAAGACACUGAAAAGUGAGCAGUGGAUUGUGUCCAAGGCCUGACAAACACUACUAGCUAUAAGUCCACUCUGUUAAGUGGUCAUCACAAACCAUGGAGGGAAGCACAUUUCCUCAUAAAUUGACAAACUUAGACUGUCUUCAUGCUCCCCCCUGGACUUGGUUUGCAUUGGCUCCCCUUCCCCAGCCUCACAGAUUAGCAUGUCCUUUUCCCGGCAUAAUAUACCUAGUGCCUCAUCAAGUAGUCACUUUUCAAGUGGUUACCUUUAGCAGAUAUGAUUUGGAGAAUAAUUAAUGAAGCCAACUCUACCCUAGAAAAUAUACAUUUGAAGGCUGUGAGUUAUGUUCCCUGAUUAUCCGACUAUCUCCCCCUUGGUGGCAGACAAGAAAAGGACUGUUUUGAGGGACUGUUUUUCUUGUGUUUUGGGUAUGAACUUUACUGAAAACAGAUCAUGUGUUGCAGGCUUGCUGCCCAGAUACACAAAGCACUCACCCUCAUCAGUGGUUUACUAUAACAAUGAACACAUAGCAAAUGAGCUAUUAGGAACUCGGGCACCAGGGGCAUGGCUUUUGAGGAUAUUUUGUACUCUCUCUCCCUCCAUUUCUCUCCCAACCCCUCCCUAUCCCCUUCCUGAAUGAGUUGAACAGCCUCUUCUCCCAUGUGUCAUUCUCCUGUGGAGUUUGUGUUUUACAACAAAGCUACACAAGCAUUACCUGAAACUGUGAACCCACAUGAAAACGUCCUCCCUUUAAGUCCUUUGCAUCGGACAUGUUGUCAUAGGGAAAGAAACAGUUGAGCCACACAUCUUGAUUGGUAUAGUGUGUGAAGCCAUGUGACCUACAUUUGUGGGCAUAGCAUUUUAUACUAGUCACUAGUGGUGGCAAGGAAAGAGUGGGUUUUUCUUGUCCUCUGCUUGCUUCCCACAUACCUCCCCCCUAAGAUUAUCUGUUUUUUUUUUUUUCCUAUCACUAUCAGCCUCUUCAGUUCCUCAUUUACCUUUUAACUGGUGAAAAUACUAAAAGCAAUAUAAAGAAACAAUCUGGGUUCAAUGAUCCAGGACAGUGUACUUAACGAAUCUUUCUUUUGUGUGGACCAGUAUUUUCUAUCUGUGUUCUGUCCAAGUCAUUUGAGGAAAGCAUGGAGAGCCUGCUGAAGUUGAGAGUGAUGGAUAAGCUGAAUUAGUAAGUACUUGAAGCCUCAGGCCCCAACAAUGCCUCUUUCUGAGUGACUUCGUUUCCAUCUUUAAAAAAAGAAAUUCAACUGUUGAGAACUAGUUUCUAAGUACAAGUGCAGACCUGACCAAAUAAUAGCCAAGGAGAAGGGUAUGAAGACUACUACCUGGGAUGUUCUUGCCCCAUCUGCUCAGGGACAGGGGAAGUCCUCCCUUUCCUCACUUCCAAGUUCUCCUUUUAAAAAG
rnacentral:lncRNA from 1 species